CCCUCUCGCCCUCUCUACUACCUCCAAGAUGGUAGGAAAGUUGUUGUUUUGGAGGGCAGAGGAGCCGCUCUCUGAUGUUAUGUCCUCUCAGUGCCUGUAGUGGUGCUGUAGGAGGCUGCUGGCUCUCUUCUUGAGCAGCCCCAGCAGCCCUGCCUUCUUUGCUGGAGAAUAUAUUCAGGGAUUCCCCUUAAUAAUCACCUACCCUCUGAACACUUUGUAGUUUUAAAAUAAUAAAGAGCCCCCAAAGCUUCCUCCCCGCAAAAAGCAGGAUCUUCUCAGAGCCAGGGGGGCAGCAGCUCCUCAGCACAGAGCCCGAGCCCAUUCCCAGUCCCUCUGCUGGGGAGGAAACUCUGAUCUGUCAGCCCAACAGAGGGAAAGGGGGGAGAGGAGAGAGAGGAGAAAAAAAAAGCAGCUGGAAAGGGAAAAGAACGUCUGGUAGUUGUGAAGUGAGUCCACUGGAAAGCCCACCAACGUGCUUCACCCCGCACAGGGUUCUUUUAUACAGUGGGAAGUGAAGGCUUGUACCUUCACAAGAGGAAACUGCACCUUUCCUGCAAAGCCUGUGUAGGCUCCCUCCUUGCAAUCGUGUUCUUGCCAUUUCGGGCCUUGGGAACAAACAAUCUGCUUCAUCUUGAUUCAUCAUCAUUCCAGGAUAGUGGUGUCCUUGGGGCUCUCUCUUAACAUUGAUAUGGUACAGAAGAUUUAAAGUCAGCUGAUGUUCACAAGGAAUAGAGUCACGUGAUGUAUGAAGGCAAACACAUACACUUCUCUGAGGUUGACAAUAAGCCCUUGUGCUCAUAUAGCCCCAAACUGUGCAAGCAGAGGCGACUUAACGGGUACGCCUUCUGUAUCAGACACGUUCUGGAGGACAAGACUGCCCCCUUCAAGCAAUGUGAAUAUGUGGCCAAGUAUAACAGCCAACGCUGCACCAACCCCAUCCCCAAAUCUGAGGACCGUAGGUACUGCAACAGCCACCUGCAGGUACUUGGCUUUAUACCGAAAAAGGAGAGGAAGAAAAAGAAUGAUCCCAUAGAGGAGGUAAAGGUCAGGCAUCAGAUGGAUGCUAUGGCCUUCAGUCUGACAGUGCCCACCCUGGCCUUGAAGAUGCCCAAUGGACUGGAUGGGAUGUCCCUCUCCCCUCCAGGGGCUAGGCUUCCUCUCCAUUACCUGGAGGCAGAAUUAGAAGACCCCUUUGCUUUCAACGAGGAAGAUGAUGACCUAAAGAAAGGGGCAACAGUGAGGAAAAAGUUGCAGAGCAAGUUGGCUCAAAACCGGCAGCGCCAGAGAGAGACAGAGAUUUUAAAAGUUCGCCAAGAGCACUUUAGCCCCCUUCCUGCACCUUUGCAGCAGCAGCCUCUGCAGCAGCAGCACUCCCAUCUGCCACCUUCAUCAGCUUCAUUAAAGCCGACAGGGCUACCGCAGGGCGUAGUCUGCAAGUCACCUCAACCUCCGAACACCAGCCUACCAAUGCAGGGAGUGGCACCUACCACACACACUAUAGCACAAGCCCGGCAGUUGUCUAACAAGAGACCUCUGCCUCUCCUGCCACCCGCUAGGGCUCCUGUCACGGACCCUCCAAGGACUGAUCGGGUCCUCAUGAAAGCCACAACCUUUUCUCCGCACUCGUCCUGCAUGAGCCGGCUACAGAGACUGGUGAAACUGUGCACUCGAAAACAGCAGCUGGACACUGAUCUGUUUCCACAUUUAGGGCUGGACUGGUCUGAAGACAGUGGAGAAGAGUUGGAGGAUUCAGAGCAAACCUCCCCUUACCAGGUUGCGUGGUCUAUCCGAGAAACCCUUGGCUAUGAGAGACAUGAGUCCGAUGAUGACAAUGCAGAUGACAGGAGUUCCAGGGUGACCAGACUUUGCACUUACUUUCAGCAGAAAUACAAGCACCUCUGCCGCCUGGAGCGGGCAGAAUCUCGUCAGAAGAAAUGCCGGCAUACACUCCGGAAAGCCUUGCUGCAGGCGGCCAGCAGAGAGCCGGAGCGUGCUGGGCAACUGAUACAAGAACUCCGAAGAGCUACGUGUGCUCGUACCAGCACAAGCCAAGCGAGGCAGAGAGAUGCAGAACCAACAACCUGUAGUGGGACUUUGAAGGGAGAACAGUGCACUAACAAGGCCCUUCCAUUCACCAGGCAUUGUUUUCAGCAUAUCUUAUUGAACCGUUCUCAGCAGCUCUUCUCAAGUUGCACAGCCAAGUUUGCGGAUGGUCAACAGUGCUCUGUGCCAGUUUUUGACAUUACACAUCAGACACCUCUGUGCGAAGAACAUGCCAAAAAAAUGGACAAUUUCUUGAGAGGGGACAGCUCCCGUAAAGUUCAGCACCAGCAGCAGAGGAAACCCAGGAAAAAAACGAAGCCACCUGCACUUACCAAAAAACACAAGAAGAAGAGAAGGCGAGGCCCACGUCGGCCCCAGAAACCCAUUCCUCCUGCAGUGCCCCAGGGGAACCUUACCAUGCCUGCCAGUGUCUCACUGCCAGUAGAGAUGCCCCACAUAAGGAGCCCCUCCACACCAGAGCUGAGUGCCGAUGAGCUGCCUGAUGAUAUCGCCAACGAGAUCACAGACAUUCCACAUGACUUGGAAUUGAAUCAGGAGGACUUCUCAGAUGUCCUGCCGCGGCUGCCCGAUGACUUGCAAGAUUUUGAUUUCUUUGAAGGUAAAAAUGGAGAUCUCCUUCCGACCACAGAAGAGGCUGAAGAACUGGAACGGGCCCUGCAGGCUGUAACUUCUCUUGAGUGCCUGAGUACCAUUGGAGUACUUACACAGACAGAUGGUGUGCCAGUUCAGGAGCUGUCAGAUAGAGGGAUAGGGGUGUUCUCUACAGGUGCUGGAGCUCCAGGAAUGCAGUCCUUGAGUCGAGAGGUUAACACGGAUCUGGGGGAGCUGUUGAAUGGGCGUAUAGUACAUGAUAAUUUCUCCGGUCUGGAGCUGGAUGAGAACUUGCUCCGUUCUGCUACCUUGUCCAACCCACCUACGCCCCUGGCAGGGCAGAUCCAGGGGCAGUUCUCAGCCCCAGCCAACGUCAGCCUUACUUCUGCCACUCUCAUAAGCCAGAGUGGCCUUGGGGAGAGAGCCUUCCCAGGACAGUUUCAUGGACUUCAUGAUGGCAGCCAUGCCUCCCAGAGGCCCCACCCUGCCCAGCUGCUGAGCAAGGCAGAUGACCUGAUCACCUCACGACAGCAAUACAGCAGUGACCAUUCACACUCCUCACCCCAUGGAAGCCAUUAUGAUAGUGAGCAUGUGCCGUCUCCCUACAGUGACCAUAUCACAUCCCCUCACACCACAUCCUUUUCUGGUGAUAACUUGGCAGCUACCUUCUCAGCAGAGAUGCCCAUGAUGGCACAGCACUUGCUCCCAACUCAGCUGGAUGUGCCACUUAGCGGGGUGGUCAACCCCAGAACUCACUGGGGAAAUCUUCCUGUCAAUCUUGGGGACCCCUCUCCGUUUAGUAACCUUCUUGGUGCAGAUGGACACCUCCUGUCCACCUCCCUGUCCACACCACCUACCACCUCGCACUCAGAGACCACACAGCCUGCCUUCGCCACCGUGACCCCCAACAGCUCCAGUGUGCUUCCGGGGUUACCGCAGACCAGUUUUAGUGGCAUGGGUCCUGCCUCUGCUGAACUCAUGGCCUCCACCUCCCCUAAACAACAGCUCCCUCAGUUCAGCGCAGCCUUUGGGCACCAGCUGAGCUCCCACAGUGGCAUCCCCAAGGACCUGCAGCCCAGCCACAGCUCCAUAGCUCCUCCCACGGGCUUCGCAGUGACCGGUGCCACCGCUACCAGUACCAAUAACGCAUCCGCGCCCUUCACCACCUCCAACUGAGCUUGUCUGCCUGGCUCUGUGCAGGUAGAUGGGGGACCUGUGUUUUCUAUCUUUCCUUUUUUCCUUUUUCUUUAUUUUUUCUGUCCUCCCUUCCCUUUUUUUUUUAAGAGGGGGUUGAGAAGAAAACCCCUGCUUCAGUACUGACCAGGGUUAGCCCUCUGUGAACCUUGCUGUAGCGUUCACAUGUGCUUGUUACGCACCGGUGCUCAUUUAUUGCAGGCAGGUUCACUGUUCCCCAAUAAUUCCUUAAGGAUACAGCACAGUUACUGGAUGUAAUUGAUCUUAGCAGUAAGACCUAGAAAUGGGAAGAUACCUCAGAGUACUGAUGCAUGUUACUGUUUCCUAGGGUUCAGAUCAGUGCUUGCCAUCCGAGCAGCAUCUGGUAGAAAGUUUUCCAGUGGGCAGUCUCUUGAUUUUUUUUUUUUUAUUUACUUUUUUUCCAAAGGUAGCAUCUGGCAUGGAAAACUUGGCUGCGCGCAUUGAUUUGAGAAUGGUGCGCUGAAGUCCUAAAUCAAGAUCAUGGCUCAAGGAUGAGUUUGGCAGUUUCUUAAAAUAGUCUCUUGACCUCCUCUGUGUGCGUGUGUGUGUUUGGGGUGCAGGGAGCAGCAGUUCCUUUUCUUCUUUUGGUGAAGAAGUGGGAGUUGUCCCCUUCCAGAACUGGUCGCUGUUCUUACUGCAUGCUGAUUUUUGGUUUUUUAUUAUGAUGAUUUUUAAUUCAUUGAGCAGCAAGGGGAUCAGUUGACUGGUUGCCCAGAAUCUGAAGGCUGAUACAAAGUUAGCCCAGGGAAAAAAAGAAAGAAAAACCAGAAGGAUUGAAAUAGAUCAUGGAUUAGUGAAGAUUCCUGUGCAGGAAUUCCCUCCCUUGCUGAAUUACUGUGGCCUUGUAGCAUUGAUGAUUUGCCUUUUCAAGUGUGGCUUUGUCCAGAACUCCUUGUCUGACAGGCUGACAGGUAUUUCCCAGCUGAAACUGGAAGAAUUUGGUUGGUAUUCUGCCCAUCCACACAAGUCUAGGUCAGACCCUUUGGUAAGUUUCAAAUGGAUGCAUUUCUCAAAUUACGUCUAGCUACUGAGACUUUCUUGGAUAGUUUUUCCCCCCCUGGGAGCCAUAUAGUUUUUUGAUACUUGGAGGGUAUGAUGCUCUGUAUGGGAAGCUGAAUGUAUGUAAGGAACUAGCAGGUACCUAUCAGCAGUCAUGGCUAACCAAAAGAGAAAUCACUAAAGCAAAAUAGGUAAGAUUUCUUUCUGUCUGCAGGACAGUUUUGCUUUUACUGCCCACCUGCUAAAGAUAGUAUUCAGACUCUUUGGUAGUAAUUUCAGUUCUUAAAGAAAGGAGUCCACUAGCUUUUAGAUUUUUUAUUUUAUUUUAUUUUAUUUUAUGUUUUUUAAUCCAAGAGAUAACAGCAGCAGAAAUUCUGAGGUGUUUACUUGCAUCUCUUUAUCAGGAAGAGAAAAAAGGAAUUUGCUUGUGACUUUAUAGGGCUCAAACUUGCUACUGUACUCUGACUUUGACUGUAAAAGUAGCUCCUACUUAAUAUAACAAGUCUUUACUCUUCUUGGUUUGUUUCUGAGAUGCAGACAAGAGAGAACAGAAAAUCCCACAUUUCAGUCUCUUACUGUAGAAGGCAGAUUUCAUUCUACCUUACAGUAAAAUGUCCUACCUGCAUGUAUUCUAGUCUAAUUCAGGAAAUUAAGAGAUACCAAGCACAUAUAAUAGGGAGGCCUAACAAAUUGUUUGAGCAAAGGAUCAUUGAACGAAGUUUAGUUGCUAUAGAAAUUCAUUUUGUUAGCAGUCAGGCCCACACCAAAAUCUCUGACCCAAACCUCUCCUUCCGUCUUGCUAAGGAACAGAAUUUAAACAGGGUAGGUCUUGUGUCUUCUUACUAUCGUAGCAAUCAUACUAUCCCUCUUUUCUUGAAAGAUUUGUUCUCCUUAAAUAUAAAGGAGUAUGAAUGAUGCAUAUGUCCUUUUCUGAAAUUGCAAGUGUAUGUGGGUGGAGGAAACAAAAAUGAUUUUCAUGCUUCUGUUGUUAUGAAGUCCUUAUUUCAUACUUGGUAAAAUAGAUCUUAAUAAUAUAAGCCGAAUAUUUUUAAGUGGUGAUUUAAAUAUGUUUGUAACAUUUAAAUGUUUUUAAAUCAUGUAAAAAGUUGAAUUGACGCCUAUGAAAUCCUGCUUGUGAUUGUCCUGCUGAUUGAGGAAUGCCCAGUGGUAUUGUGAAAUGAGGCAAAUCUGACAAGGCAUUUAUUUAUUUUUGUAUUAUGUUCCCCAUACUUUGUUGAGGAGACAACUGUUUGAUUUGCAAAUGAUUUUCGUUGUGUCCAUAUGCCUUCUUCAAUGUGUUUGGAUGACUGGCUGAAAAAGAGUGGAGAACUAGUAUACCAAAUGGUUAAUUCUUUAAUCUGCUCGUGUAUUCAUGUCAUUUUAGAGGAUGUUAAUUUCUAUAAGUUGGUUUCAGGACUUUGGUCUUGAAAUCAUUCUUGUGCCCAUCAAACUCUUUAAUGAAGCUGCAGCUUGUGCAGAGUAUAUUUGCCCCACAUCACAUUUCUCUUUCUUAGCAAA